rnacentral:rRNA from 1 species
AACGAACGCUGGCGGCGUGCCUUAAGCAUGCAAGUCGAACGAAAAAUAUCUUUUGAUAUUUUUAGUGGCAAACGGGUGAGUAACACGUAGCUUAGUCACCCCAAAGUGAGGGAUAGCCAUGGGAAACCAUGGGUAAUAUCUCAUAAUACCUACGGGUUAAAGUUUAAUACGCUUUGGGAGAUGGCUGCGGUUCAUCAGGUAGUUGGUGGGGUAAUGGCCUACCAAGCCUAUGACGAAUAUCCGGCCUGAGAGGGUGAUCGGACACAUUGGAACUGAGAUACGGUCCAGACUCCUAUGGGAGGCAGCAGCUAGGAAUUUUCCGCAAUGGACGAAAGUCUGACGGAGCAACGCCGCGUGAAGGAUGAAGGUCUUUCGGGAUUGUAAACUUCUUUUCCCGGAGAAGAAGCAAUGACGGUAUCUGGGGAAUAAGCAUCGGCUAACUCUGUGCCAGCAGCCGCAGUAACAC